rnacentral:pre_miRNA from 1 species
CAACUCUCAUUCUACACUGUUGGAUCGAGAAAUGGACAUCCGAGAUUCGUCCAGGUAAUCAUGAGUUAAAUUAACUCGCAGGCUCAUGAAUUAAUUUACAUGGAAGUUAAAUUUUAACUCAUGGUGACGUGGACGAAUCUCGGACGUCCAUUUUCCAAUCCAACGGUGUAGGAUGAAAGUUG